rnacentral:tRNA from 1 species
GGAGGAGUGGCCGAGUGGUUGAAGGCGGCGGUCUUGAAAACCGUUAGGCCCGCAAGGGUCUCGGGGGUUCGAAUCCCUCCUCCUCCGCCA